UGGUAAAAUGUCUCUUUUAUGCUUCUGCACAUGAAUAAUGGGCAUGAAUGAAUUUGACAGAGCUGUUGUGUUUGUUGGUAAGACUAUAUCGUUUUAAUUCAAAUUGUUCCUCUUCACUUAGGAGUGCAUGGAUCCCUGUUGUGUUGCUUUACUGUGUAAAUUUCGACCCGGUGCCAAAUGUGCAUCAAAUGAUAUUUGCUGCAGAAACUGCAAAUUCGUAAAAGCAAAUCGAAUUUGCAGGAAACCCAUUGGAGAAUGUGAUUUCUCAGAGUAUUGCACGGGCGCACAUUCAAAGUGUCCCAUCAAUAUGUACAAGAAAAACUUUUACCCCUGUGCAAAUGGGACUUCAUACUGUUUCAAUGGUGCAUGCCAGACACUGCAGACUCAGUGUCAGAAUAUCUGGGGACCAACCUCCGCUCCUAGUCCCAUUUUAUGUUAUUGGUACAUGAACAUAAUAGGAAAUCAAUUUGGGAAUUGUGGCCGGAAGGAUGAUGGCUUCUUUGUGAGUUGCCCUAUAAAAGAUGUGAGAUGUGGAAAGCUUCAAUGCAAUGGUAAAGGCAUAUCACCAGCAAUUGGUGGAAGAACCGAAAAUGUUGUGUCCCAGUUCUCCAACAAAGGCCGGAAUAUCGAGUGUUAUGGAACAUAUUUCACAGGUGAUGCUGAAGGCAUUGAUCUGGUGGCAGAUGGCACUCCCUGCGGUUUGGGAAAGGCGUGCUUCAACACCAUUUGUCGUGGCGUGGCUGGUUUUGGUGUCGCCAAGUGUAACAAGCAUUGCAAUGGUCAUGGGGUAUGUAACAAUAAUGACGCAUGCCACUGUGACCCAGGCUGGGCACCCCCAAAUUGCACCACUGCAGGACAAGGUGGCAGCGUGGACAGUGCAACGUGGUUUUCACAGCAGCCAGCUGAAAAGUAUGAACCUAAAACUCCAAAACCAACUGCUGUUAUUGAGAAUAAUUUCAUCUAUCCUAAAGUAAAACCCACCAGUCCAGGAUAUGGUUUUAGAACCGGCACGACUACACCACAAUUUUCGAUAAAAGGCAUGCAUGAAGAAUCGGCAGUUGUUAAAAGUGGUUCCAGUUCAAGGAGGAAGAAUGCUAAGACAACAACUGCAAGUCCAGGCAGAGCAGGACCCUAUGGAACACGCCUAGUUAUUAAAGGUGGUGUAAUACCUAGCCGUAGAGCACCAGCAUCUGGUCCAGUGCAAGUCAAAUUUGGAAACGGCAAGUCUUUCAGCUCUGUCAAUAAACUAGUUCCCGCAGGAUCAAGGUCUGACCAGGAUGAGGAUACCCGAAAGGCUGAUACUACAGACAUAAUGGUCUCUUGUGCGCACACAGGUACACCCAUUUGGCUGAUGAUAUUUCUGGUGCUGAUUCUGAUCUUACUACUUGUGGCAUUCGGACUGCUCACGUAUUACCUGACGAAAGAGACUGACAACACUGAUGAAGUAUCAGAAAGAUCCAACCUCAGUGAGAAUAAUCCCAGUGUCAGUUCCCACAGCUCCAUGUAUAUCUCCCUUUCCACAAGGGAGUCCGAUGCCCCAUCUAGCCAGUCGAGUACAUAGGACUGCAGCACCAGUGAUGUGAGUCCAGUGGGAAGACGCUUGGCCAUGUGCACCACUCAGUGAAGCCUAAUCUACAGGAUUUAUUGAAUCCGCAUCUUAGCCUUGAUGACUCUGUACCAGACAUUGCCACCAGAACUCACAGCAGCAGUGAAGAGCUGCCUGGGGAUGAGAACAUUCAUGCCACCAUGUCUGUCCCUCUGGCCUGACCCACAUCUUUCAGCCGUCUUAAACUCGCCACCGCUGUGCCUGUUGAGCACAUUCCCACACUACGUCAAUACAUUCUGCAAUGAAUAGGAACGAUCCUUACCAUGUAUGAUUUAGUGCAUGUAUGUUUUCAGUCAUUCUGCUUAUUUGUGUAUAAAUUAUUUAAAUAUCCAACCCUGCGUUUUAAUAUAUCAGAUAGAAUAGAUUGGUUAUUGUUAUUUGAUUUAAAUAAAAUA